CACAUGGCAUGCGGUACGGCAUCAUUCGGACGCUGUCAUCGACCGGCGGUGUCAUCACCGCGGCCGGGCUGAUCUUCGCGGCCUCCAUGUGG
rnacentral:tRNA from 1 species